UACGUAGGGUGCGAGCGUUAAUCGGAAUUACUGGGCGUAAAGGGCUCGUAGGCGGCCAACUAAGUCAGACGUGAAAUCCCUCGGCUUAACCGGGGAACUGCGUCUGAUACUGGAUGGCUUGAGAUUGGGAGAGGGAUGCGGAAUUCCGAGGUGUAGCGGUGAAAUGCGUAGAUAUCUGGAGGAACACCGGUGGCGAAGGCGGCAUCCUGGACCAACACUGACGCUGAGGAGCGAAAGCCAGGGGAGCAAAGCGGG
rnacentral:rRNA from 1 species